UCGAACCAUGAUGACAGUUGAUUAGCCUUUUGGAUCAUUUUCAUACAUGACAUAGCUGAGAAAAGAUGGUUAAAAUACAAUAUUGGGAAAUAUUUAUUUUCUUGUGAUCACAUCAUAUAGAUGUUAGGCCUCAUGGAGAAGUGAGUUUGCGCGGCAAUAUGAUACGCCAGUAAAUCAUCCCCAUCCAUUUGAUUCUUUUGCCCACCUUUUUUCUCUGAGGCGAAGAGGUCAUCACAAUGAAUGGGACGAGGCGCUGGAGCUGGUGGUUGGUGAUGAUCAUCAACAAGAGAGCUUUUGUUAGAUGCAAACAUUUUCUUCAACCUUUUACAGCAUUUUGUCAUGACCUUCCCCAUUCCCAUCGGCUCUCUAUUUCUGAUCUCAAUUAUUUGUACGUAAAGAAUCCAAGUAGUAGUAGUGGUGUGUAUUUAUGUUAUGUACAAUAGUGAGAUGGGAGUUAAGGGAUGAAAUCACAUGGAUUGGAUUAUGUGUGGAAUUAG
rnacentral:lncRNA from 1 species